AGUGUGUCACUUAAUAAGUAAUCCAAAUCAAUCCACUUUCUCUAUAUUUUCUGCUGUCCGUAUUUAUGGAAAAAUAUUAAAUGUUGAUGUGGAGCAACAUAUACUAGAACUCACUAAAUCAGUGGUCAGCCCUGUUUUCAGAUGGGAUAAACCUUGUGGAAGAUCUCUUCAUGCACAAAGUGACACAGUCAAUUUGAAACUCAUUAAGGUUGCUAUACCACAAAAAUUGCUGCUCUAAGAAUAUGCCAAGUGCCUUCAGAAAAGAUGAAGAAAAUGAAGUACAACAAAAUCAAGUUCUUCGGCACAGGCCUCCAGGCACUAAGAGAUUUGGGACUAGCAUACAGAUCCACCACUCCACAAACUUACCUUUAUUACAGUUACAUAUUAAGAAUUUUAUAUUUGUACAUCUUAACGCACCUUGUUUUGUAGGGCUGAUUGGAGUUAAGACUUUUUUUGCCCUCUGGCGACAUUGUAACUGUGAAAGCAAUGGACGAAUAAAGGAGUCA
rnacentral:lncRNA from 1 species